GGCAUGUGAGGGUCAGGGGGCUGGGGAAGAGGACGGGUGCAGGCGUGGGUUGGAUUGGCGGGGCGGAGAGGGUGUGUAGGCGGUUUGGUAAGCCGUCUGUUAAGGCGUCGGGCCCAACCCGGAAAGCGCAGGGGGUACUGCCAGGCUAGAGGGUGGGAGAGGAGCGCGGAAUGCCCGGUGUAGCGGUGAAAUGCGUAGAGAUCGGGAGGAAGGCCGGUGGCGAAGGCGGCGCUCUGGAACACACCUGACGCUGAGACACGAAAGCGUGGGGAGCAAACAGGAUUAGAUACGCGGGUAGUC
rnacentral:rRNA from 1 species